rnacentral:siRNA from 1 species
GACUCCGAACAGCACCACUAAGCC